UUUUUUUUUUUUAAUUUUUAAAAUCUUUUUUAAAAAAAGAUUUAUUUAUUUAUCUAUUAUUAUAUGUAAAUAUACACUGUAACUGUCUUUAGACACUCCAGAAGAGGUUGUCAGAUCUCGUUAUGGAUGGUUGUAAGCCACCAUGUGGUUGUUGGGAUUUGAACUCAGGACCUUUGGAAGAGCAGUCAGAGCUCUUAACCACUGAGCCAUCUUUCCAGCCCCGUUUCUUCCAUGCUCUUUUGUUUUGGCUUUGCACUCACCAGGACAUGACCCAGCUGUGUUCAUUCACACUGACUGAUACUCUGUGACAGUUUGUCCCAGAAGGCUGGUAGCCACUAAGACACUAAUGAAUGGGUAGUAUAUAGAGUGGGCACAUGUUGGACCAAGGGGUGAUCCAUGCUCUGGAUGGGAAGGGGGAAGAUUUCUUCACAUUUCUCAGAAUGAUGUGGGUGGAGGCUAAUGUUCAAGGUCAUCAUGACUGAGUUUGGGAUCCCCAGGAGACACACCUUGGGGACUCCAUUGAGAUGGACUGUCUCCUCUACACCAGUGAGCCCAAACAAACUGUCCCUUAAGUUGCUUUUAUCAGAUACUUAACUGUCACAGCAAUGAGAAAAGUAACCAGUGUAGUAUGUUUUAUUUGUUCAUUUUGGAUUUUUGGGAUAGGAUUUUGUCCUAGAACUCACUGUGUAGACCAGCCAUGCCCCUGCCUCUGCUUCCUGUUUUAUUGUUGAGACAAGCCCUCUACAUAAUUCUGGCUCGUCUAGAAAUCACUAUGUCGACCAGAAUAGCCUUGACCUCUGAUACACCUGCCUCUACCUCCUGAUUGCUGAAAUUAAAGGUGUGUAACACUACACCCACCAGGUUAAAGAUGUAUUUUUAUUUUAUAUAUGAGUGUUUUUUGCCUGCAUCCACAUCUGUGCACUGCAUCCAUGUAGUACCCACAGAGGCCAGAAGAGGGCAUUGGGUUGGAUUCUUAGAAACUGGAGGCUCCAGCAUAAAAAUUGUAAAACUUACAUUGUGAAUAGGUGUGUAUACAUGGGUCAAACAUAGCCUUUUGGGCGUGCUAAGUAAGAACAUAUAUAUAUAUAUACAUAUAUAUAUAUGUGUGUGUAUAUAUAUAUAUACAUAUAUGUAUACAUAUAUAUAUAUAUAUAUAUAUAUAUAUAUAUAUAUAUAUAUAUAUAUAUCUCCUCAGCCUAUUUUCAGAAUUAUCUAUUUAAUAUUUUCAGAUGGUUUGCCAUGGGUAACUGAAAUAACAGAAGGAAAUCCUUGCCUAGGGAAAGAGGACUACAGCUCAGUCUUCAGUGUGUUGGGAGCUGAUCCAGAUUUGUCCCAAAGUGUUUUUAACACAAGUCUAUGGUUGGUGAUUAAAGAUGGCUUUUCCUGUGAACUUUUUUACUGGGUAGAAUAUAUUAAUCAAGUCUGGGCCUUGGGGGAUGGUUCAGUCGUGGUUAAAGUGCUGGCUGCUUGAAGCUUGAGGGUCUAAGCCCCGAUUCCCAGUUGUGUUGGAAUAGCCAGGUACAGCAGGAUGUGGCUAUAACCACAAUGCUGUGAUUAGCCUAGUAGAAAGGGUUAAACUCUAGGUUCAGUGAGAUAAUCUGUCUCAAAAAAAGAUGGAGGGCUAGCACAUGCUCAGUCAGUAAAAGCUCUUCCCAGCAAACCUCAUGACCUGGGUUCAAUCUCUGAGACACAUGGGUGCGAGGAGAGAACUUAGUCCUGCAAGUUGUUUUCCAACGUAGGCAUGUGUAUUGUAAUUCCCCCUCUACCCAAGAUAAGUGUAAUAAUUGAUUUUUAAAAUGUAGAGCAAAAGAGGGGAACAAGAACACGGAUCUUGGGCCUCCAUGUACACAUUCAUAUAUGAGUAUAGUCAGAUCAAUAACUUUAAAUCACUUAAUAUUUUUAAAAAUUAAUUUC
rnacentral:lncRNA from 1 species